rnacentral:lncRNA from 1 species
AUUGGAAGGCUUUCUCCUGAAAGGUUUUGUUUGAUGUACUUUCCAGUGUUGGAUCAGUUCUUUUUUUCUCAGGAUUUCUGUCUUCUUGUUGAAUUCUAUUUUCAUAUCCUGAAUUAACUCCCUCAUUUUGUUCUUUUAUUCAGUUGUUUGUAUUCUCUGUAUUCAGGAGAUUAUUUGUGACCUCAUUCACCUAAUUCACAUGGUGUGUGUGUGUGUGUGUGUGUGUGUGUGUGUGUGUGUAUGUAUUUGUGUGUGUACCUUCUUUUUGAAUUCUUUGGCAUCUCAUCUAAAUCACUGGCACUAGUGACCAUUACUAUUGGGGUGGUAGAUUGCAAGGAAACAUAUCUUACUGUCUCAUGUUAUUUAUGUUGAAAGUUGCCUGCCUGGACCUAGCUUUUUAGUUAAGUCUUUCCGUGAUGCCUGUGUUGAGUGAGCAUUUGCUUCAGUGUUUGCUAUUUCCUCUGCUUGGUACUGGUAUUGGUUCAGCUCAGUGUUGCUUGAUUCUAGUAGUAGACACUCAGUGUUAGCUCCUGGAUGGAGAAACUGAAGGUAUAUUGGCUUGGCUACAGUGUGGGCGUGGUCUUUGGUCUCAUAAACCAGAGUCUGUACAACAUGUUGGGAGUUUGUACUAGAGGUGGUAGUUUCAUGUGUUCUCUGAUCUCAUGAUCCUGAGUUGAGCAGUGUUAUAGGGGUGUGUCCCAGGGCCAUGACCCCUAACUUCAUAAGCCAGGGUGCUCAUGUGUACUGUGCAUGUAUGGAAUAUCCUCUGGCUUCUCCAGUUGGGGCAGGAGUGUGCACUGGGGUGUGGGAGGAGAUCAAACACCUCUGGCAUUACCGGCCAGUUGAGGACAGGAUGCAAGAAGUGCAAAGCAGGGGCCUCUAAAAUGCCUUGCUGGGUUGAGCCUGGGAUACAUAUGAGUCUUGUACCCUUUUCAGCCAUGAUGAGUGUUCAGGACAGUGUAAGUGUUAGCAGGAGAAUUGGGAGAGCAGAAGGUCUUGAGACUUCUAGUCUGACCAGCUGGAGCUGGUAUAAAGUAGCGGAAACACAGAGCAGCAGACAUUGUAGUCUCCACAGAGCCAGAGCCCUUUUCUGCUGGGAUAAUCACACAGUGUGUGCGAGGGUGUGAAGGUUCCAGGGUAAGCAGGAUAGUGGGACAUGGCUCUGGUAGGGGUUCACAGAGAGUGGAAGGAUGAGUGAGAGAUCUCAAGGUCUCUAACUUGUCUGGGAGGGGUGAGUGCAGGACAGCAGGAAUACAGGAAAGGGAGAGGAGUCCCCAAGAUCUGCAUGGCUGGAUGGGGUGCAAGGAAGGCUGAAGGAACGUAUUUAUUCUAGGUCUUGAGGAUGCAUUGUAGUUAGGAGUACAAGGGACUUGAAAAUGAAUGUCCCAUGAUAAUUUUAAGGAAAGAGACAAGACGUGGAAUAAGGGAGGCGUCCCAGUCCCCAAGUCAGAGAGCACUUCAGAUAUUAUGAUGGCUUAGGGGCGUUCUUCUUGUCUUCCACCAUGCUACAAGGAGUUGGUUAGCAAUUCAGAGUGGAGCCCACAGGAGAAUUCAAAACAUAAGUUUUAAGCCCCAACUCUGCUGGGCUGAGUCCUUCCUCAGCUGGGCUUUGAGCCUAUCACCCCUUGUUUCUUUCCGGAGACUAAGUUCUGCAACACUGGGAUACUGCAAUACUGCUAGUCCCUGCUAGGGCAUCUCCGAGGUUAUCUCCUUGCCCUGGGUAAAGUAAAGGUCUCUCCCAAAAAACUCUAAAGAAAACAAAAAUAGGUCACUUGGUUCAGAAAAGUCUUGCCUGUAUGAAGGUUCUUGGAGGUUUUGUUGCUAUUAUUCUUCCCCUGCAACCCCCCCUCCCCCAUGCCAUUCAGGUUAAAAGUGUCAACGGACAAGUUUAUUCUAUGUUGUUUAUUUACAUACAUAUUUAUUACCAUUUUUAUGGAUCUUAUAGGAAUUUCCUACCACCUGGAAGACUAGAUCCAGGAUCAAAUCCUCAGGGAUGGCUCUGCUUACAGUGCGUAGACGGAGGAUCUGAGAACAGUUGAUGAUUAGGAAGCGGAAGUACACGAAGCACAGAGACACAGCACGGUGGCACAGAGAAGAGGAGGAGAGCUACGGAAGCUCUGAGAAGGGCAAGAACCAGCUGCCAGGCCUCACCUGCAUCCUCUUUUUCCAGCACUGGCCCAUCCAGGCUCCCAGACAGAGCUCAGCCUGGCUUCUCACAAUGUGUGUCUCACUCCUGGGCCACUGCCAAGGCUUAGGCAUGAAAACUUGACAUGCGGGACUGGAGAGAUGGCUUAGUGGUUAAGAGCACUGACUACUCUGCCAGAGGUCCUGAGUUCAAUUCCCAGCAAUCAUAUGGUGGCUCACAACCAUCUGUAAAGGAAUCUGAUUCCCUCUUCUUGUGCAUCUGAAGGCAGCUACAGUGUACUCAGACAUAAAAUAAAUACUUAAAUCUUUUUUUUUUUUCUCUGAGACAGGGUUUUUCUGUGUAACUCUGGCUGUCCUGGAACUCACUCUGUAGACCAGGCUGACCUCGAACUCAUAAAUCCACCUGCCUCUGCCUCCUAAGUGCUGGGAUUAAAGGCAUGAGCCACCACGCCCGGCUUACUUAAAUCUUAAAACAACAACAACAACAACAAAAAAAAAAAAAAAAAAAGAAAGAAAGAAAGAAAGAAAGAAAGAAAGAAAAAGAAAAAGAAAAAAGGAAAAUUGACCUGAGCCUUGUGGCCCUGGCAGGAUUGAUACAGAAACUAUCAGUUUCAGAGUGUCUUAGUUACUGUCAUAUUGCCUCGAAGAGAUUCCACGACCAAGGCAGCUUAUAAAGGAAAGCAUUUAAAAGGGGGCUUGCUCAUAAUUUCAGAGUCUGUGGCCAUUAUGUGGGGAGCACUAGGGCUCCUGCGAGAAAGAGGAAGAGGCAGAGGAGCUAAUUAAGGAGACUGGGUGACUUUGCCCUGCAUCUCCAACCUUUCCCAAACAUCUGCCCCACCGGCCAGAGGCAGCUAGAACCUGCUGCUAGUAGUCUUCUUGCUCUUUUGAGAAACCAUCAGAAAGCAUCUGCAAACAACAGUGAUUGCCUGAUAACGGAGAGAAGCACAAUUUCCAAUUACAGCCUGGGUGAUUGCUCUGGCUUUUAAUUAAUGGAGUGUGCAUCUGUUUGCUGAGACCCUUCUGAAUGUGCUUUCUUGGAGUUCCUUAAUUAGUUACAAGAAGCUGCAGGUGUUCUGUCAGGAGCACAGUGGACCUGGGACAGCUUCCAGAAGAGACUCUUCUUUAAUGUAAAUAUUUAGUCAUCUGAUGAUGGGGCGCCUUUUAGAGUUCUCAUUCCUGUUCCGUGCGCAAGCAGUGGUGUCGGAAGACACAUCUAGGCUUCAUUUGGAUUGUUGACAAAAUAAAUUGAAGUGGAAGAGACCAAUUUUCAUUAUGGCAGACACUUAUCUGCAGUUAGACCAUUACCAGGAUGACAAGCUAUUCUCACACUGUCACACUGAGCCUGCUGCCUGGGAGUUUUGUUUUGUUUUGUUUUGUUUUUGUGGGGCAGAAAUGUGGGUGUAGGUGAUGGGACACUACAUGCUAAUCCUGUAGCUGGAUUGCAUUUGAUAGCUGUUAUUCAGAGGGACACUGCAGGAAACGAGCGAGCGAGUGGAGAUUGAAUCAUAAAGGCUUCUGCGUCAGGUUAUGAAAAAUUGGCGACGUUGCUUCUUCCUGAAGUCAUUACCACCUCUGGAUUGUGUGCUGAUGUUGCCAUGUGAAAGAUGUUCCAGGCUGAGGUGAAAGCGUCCGUGAUAAUUGGAUGUGCGGGCGUCAGAGGGUGAGGACAGAGGGGCAGGCACACUGUGCUCUGUGGGUCAAGCGCUCCACAGCCUGGUUUGAAGGUGAGGCCGUCUCUCCUGUUUAUUUACAUGUUGCCUUUGGCUGCCUCCAUCACAAUGUUAGCUAUGACUAUAGUUAGCAUCUGGUUCCGCAUAAAAUGUUCUCCUGCCCU